rnacentral:rRNA from 2 species
UCAUCGUCAGCGUAAUCGACUUGCUGGCGGUUCGUGAUGUUCGUCGCAGUUAUUCAUUUAAUUGCGUGCGGCACGCGUCCGUUGCGUUUUAUGUUCUUUUACGUAGGCGUGCACUUCUCCUCUAGUAGAACGUCGCGACCCGCUGGGUGUCGGUCUAAGGACCGGGAUUGGUGCCUGUUCCGUAGCUUCGGCGUUUGGUAACAGACGCUCGGUUCCCGAUCGACUGCUCGGCGGUAAUGGAAAUGGUAUUGAGCCGCACGAUUAAUUUGCGUUCAGGCCCGUCUCAAGCUCGAUCAUCGCUCGGAAUGCGGACCAAGUGCCGUACCCGGGAACGAUCAGUUGCUGGUGAACGGUGUUCUCGAACAGGCUUAAUAAUUAGAACGUUUUUAAAACAAUACCAAUCUGCGACGCUAAUGCUUUGGGUACUUUCAGGACCCGUCUUGAAACACGGACCAAGGAGUCUAACAUGUGCGCGAGUCAUUGGGUAUUUUAAAACCUAAAGGCGCAUUGAAAGAGAAAUUGGUCGACUUCGCGUCGGCCAGAGGGAGGAUGGUUCGCGUUUAGAUGCGAACCCGCACUCCCGGGGCGUCUCUUAUUCUUUUCUAAGAGUCGAGAGGCGCACCAAGAGCGUACACGUUGGGACCCGAAAGAUGGUGAACUAUGCCUGGUCAGGACGAAGUCAGGGGAAACCCUGAUGGAGGUCCGUAGCGAUUCUGACGUGCAAAUCGAUCGUCGGAACUGGGUAUAG